CACGUAGGGCGCAAGCGUUGUCCGGAAUUAUUGGGCGUAAAGAGCUCGUAGGCGGUCUGUUACGUCUGCUGUGAAAACCCUGGGCUUAACCCUGGGCUUGCAGUGGAUACGGGCAGGCUAGAGGCAGGUAGGGGAGAAUGGAAUUCCCGGUGUAGCGGUGAAAUGCGCAGAUAUCGGGAGGAACACCGGUGGCGAAGGCGGUUCUCUGGGCCUGGCCUGACGCUGAGGAGCGAAAGCGUGGGGAGCGAACAGG
rnacentral:rRNA from 1 species